AAAUUUCAAGAGAAAUACUUAAAUAAUACUGUAAGGUAAACAAAUAUUACGGUAUUUUCUAUAUAUUGUAAAAUGAAAAAUGCUUCAUAAAAAGGCUCCAACGAAAUAUAAAGUCACAGUGUGGUAGAUUUUAAAGACGAGGACGCUGUUUGCACGAGAUCUAAACACCAUUCAAAAUUAGAAAGUUAUCGAAAACGGGAACGUUUGUGCAUUUGGUUCAGUGCACAAGAAUCUUCGCGGCGAGAGAUAUAAUGAUUGCUUGAAAAGCAGAUUUAAUGAACAAUAGGGACCACACAAAGACGGGAAUAAUAUUUGAAACCCUUCAGGUAAUGAAACGCAUUACCAUUAGGACUUUGAAAAGUGUCAAUUAUUAUGCAGCAGGUACCUCAUAAAUCAACGGAAAUAAGUGUCAACUAUAAAUAAGUGGAACAGUUGAAUUCUAUGAAAUUUUGUCCGAAGGCCAGAACACCGAUAUAAAUGUGCAUAUUGUAUGCAAAGAAGCGAGUUCGCUGCUGUCCAAAAUUUUCUUGCUAAAAAUGUCACCUAAACCGAACAUCCUUAAUAAUCUAAAAAGCAGACAAAGUAAUGAUAAUAAAUUGUAAAAAUACCUUUUGUAAUUAAAUAUGGUCACUAGAAAUUAGAAAUUAAAAUAUGGGACAUUAAAAUGUCUGAACAAAUAUAA